GAUCAACAUUGUCACUUUUUUCUGCUAGAUACACGAUGUUUCGAAGAAGUGGACACUACAUGUGACUGGCAGAAACACAAGCGAAAGAUUUGAUGAGAUGGGACUAAGGCAAAUACGAGAGAACUGUGUGCAACCGAAUGGGGACACUCUAAGAUCGUUUACAUUUUGCAGAAUGAAUGAGAAGAUCUUUAGGGUCGAGAACUGGAACAACUUUGUCCCUUUCAUUAGACAGAUGAGUGCAGAUAUGUAAAAACAGUCACGAGUGUUGUGUUUGUCUUUUGUUACAGAAUUGAUCUUUCCUCACCAUAUUGCUUUUUCAGAUAUGUGAUGAGGAGAACUAAUCAAAAUCAAGAAUUGUUAUAUGA